AAGCCUUAGUAAAUUUUACUCCUCUAAAAUUGCAGUUUAGUAUCAUUGUUGACUAUAAGACC
rnacentral:tRNA from 1 species